rnacentral:lncRNA from 1 species
UCAAACUCCUUUUAUGCGAAAGCGGGGGACCUCCCGCGAUCGCAAAGCAUAAACACCUACAACUGUUGGGAUGAAAAAUCUGCAACUCCAAAGUGCCAAACAUGGUCCGAUUGACCAUCCAAAACUCACCCGAGGUCCACAAGACCUCAAAAAAAAGUACCAACACAUCCUAAAACCUCAUCCCAACUUGUUCCAAUCAUCAAAACACCUCAAACAACACCAAAACCAUCAAAUUACAUUGAAUUCAAGCCUAAGUUCUUCUAAAACCUCUUAAAUAUGCUUUCAAUUAAAACUCGACCAAAUGACGUCCGAAUGAUCUAAAAUUUUGCACACAUAUCCAAAAUGACAUAACGAAGCUACAUCAACUCUCAGAAUUCCAUUUCGGCUCUUGGAUCAAAAUUUCACCUACCAACCGGAAUUCGCCAAACUACUAACUUCAUCAAUUCAAAACAAAUUCUACACCAGACCUCCAAAACUAAUUUUGAUCACACUCCUAAGUCAUAAAUCACCUAAAAAAGCUAACUAAAUCAUAAAAAUUUUGAUCCAGGAUCAUAUACAAAUAAGUCAACUCUUGCUCAAACCUUUCAAAUUCCAAGCUUUCAAUUGAAACUGUUCUUCCAAAUUCAUUCCGAUUUUUCCUGAAAUCAAAACGAACGAUCUAUAUCAGCCAAAAUACAUCAAACAAAGCAAGUCGUGCCCGAGAACUAACGAUCAAAACACAAAAUCUCAAUACAACUGGUCGGAUUGAUACACACAAUCGCUCGAUUAUUAUAUUGGCCUAAUGAUCUGAUUAAUUACCCAUAAUAAUUCUAUGUGCAUUUUUAAUUUUAUAAUUUCUUUUAUUUAUUUUAUGUAAGAUUUCAACGUCAUCUAAAAUAUGUCUUUGGACCACGCCAUAUAAAAUGCACUCGUAGUCCGAGAUAUAUUCUUUUUAACGUUGCUAAGACUUGGACUUGGGUCACAUGAAAUGCACAUCCGAUUUUAGCAAGGUAAUUUUUAAAAUAGCACGCCUAAAGCAACUAUGCACUUUCGACUUUGCGAGAGCCAUGAAAAUUCGCUAAUGGCACACCUCGAUUACAAGAAAAUUAAGAUUAACUAUCUGAGGGUCAUGGAUUAUCUAGUUUUUGUUCAAGGCACACCUCAAGUCUAAAUAAAGGGCCUAGUUAAUUAAACAACUAAAGGGAAUAUCAAAUUAAUCUAAUGCAAAUGCCUCAGUUCAAUUGUACAUCAGCUAACUGGAAUUGCAGAACUACUCAAUUCAUUUCGAAUAUAUCUUGGGCCAGUAGAAAUACUCAAUAGAGAUAACCAUAUUCCAAAAAAAUGGCCAUAUGUGAUAAACCAAACAACGGUCCAAUCCACAAAGGCCUUCAGGCUUGGCUCAAGUGAGCCCAAAUUGGUGAAACAACAAGCACCGCACGAGGGUGUGUAAUUGAAUUCUAUUGUUAUUCAGUUGGGCCAGUGUUUGGUUUAGUUCUUGUGAUCCAAAUAGUUCACGCCCAAGUCAAAUAACGCAAAUCAAACUGGCGUUAACAUAGAACACGCGAUCGAAUGCCAAGUUUAAACUAUGAUUUAAAAGAUUUGACACAAAUUAACUAAACUAAAGUUCUAAUUUUAUCUUAUGCAUUCUUCAGUGCAAUCUGCUACAAGAGUAAUCCAGCAACAACAACACGGGAUAUUGGGCUCAGCGGACAAGCCUAAUGCAUCAAAGUAUCAUCCUCUCUUGUAAAUGGCCACAAAAUCUAAGACUCCCUGAACCUAAGUCUUGCAAAACCAAAAUUGGGAAUCAAGACUCAAUGUCGAGUCCUAUCCAACCAGAAGCCUCAACAGGCUAUUAGCUCACCAAACAUUCUUAACUUCAAUUGCAGUGAUAACAAAACAAACAGAGGUUUAAACUUGUAUUUAACUUCGAGACUAAUCUCACAAAUAAAUGUAGGAAAUUUAAACUCAUUUAGACCAUUUAAAUGGCAGUUUAAACCAAGUAAAAUAUAACAAAGCUUUCCAAAUUGCAAAGUAGAACCCUGGAUAGUACAUAAACAUGACAAUUUCUAAUUUCAAACUAGAGGAGCAUCGAAUUAACACACUCAAACAGCCACUAUAGCACAGUUUUUAAACAAACAAAUCUACAGCAUGCUUAAAUCUACUGAGUUUCCUGCAAUAAUGAUUUUCUAGCACCCAAAACAUGAUCAAAACAUUCAAUACAUCUAAAAUAAGCAAAUGACUGCUCAAAACUAUGGCAGAAAUUAAAACUACAAAUAAAUAAGAACCAAAUAGCUAACAUAAGCAUAUCAUAUUGAUUUUCAGUCAGCUGAGCUUACUUACAUUGUUCAACAAAAUCUCACCUACAACUUCAAUAGUUCAGAAGAAAUACUUGUGAAACAAAAAGGGAAACAAAGAGAAAUGAGGGUUCAGCAAGCAGCAAACAACAGAACAAUAUCCAAAUUUGAUGAUACAGUACCAAAACCAAACCAGCUCGAACCCAACUUUCUAAAUCCAAAAGCUCAAAACCAUUUUUACUAAAAUGCAGGAAUUCGUAGUUUUUAGGGGUUCUAGCUAAUAGGGAAGGUCAGAAAUGCAGAAAUCAAG